AAACUGAGGGAAAUAGGGCAAAAGAAAAAAAGCCAAGAAAGGAUGUUUUCUUAGCUGGAGACUUAUUUGGAGCUUGCUCUCCCAGGGAACUCUGGAUCAUUAGGAAGUGACAUGAAGUUAAGGGCCUGGGCUUGUACACCCUCACAUCAGUUAUUCACUGGCCGUGUGCUGCCCUAGUAGGCAGCACGGCCUGGCAAUCACCUCUGAGUCCACCCUGGUCAUACGGUUCCCAUCAGCCAAGGGUAAUUCUCCCAAGAAGCUUGUAGCUGUGAUCCAUGAGCAACCAGCAUUCACAGGUGCUGGGAGAUGGGUGACUCUACCCGGGAAAGAGGAUCCAGGCAGAAAAAUGGGUGUCUGCUACAGUCGUUAGUGCUCAGAGCACUUAAGAACAGUGCUAAUGGAGUAAAUAAGAGCCUAAGUGGAGAAGAACAAAGGCUCUAACAUACUAUGUAAACAAUUUCAAAGCACAUCUUUUUGUCUGGGACUCAAUUUCCCUAUCCAUGAAAUGGGAAGAUUGGAUCACCUUUUCUCUAAGGAGUCUAUCAUUGCUCCAGUGUUCACAGGUUCUGGAGUUCUGCUGCCUUAGUUCAAACUCUAGCUCUUCCAUGAAUGGGUCUAUGUUUGCCCAGAUGCAUAGUCUUUGGAUUUUAGUAGUCACUGAUUAUAAAGACAUAUUCCACAAGGUUGAGCCUCAUCUGUAAAAUGUGAGCAACUGCAGUAGCACACACCCUGCAUGGUUAGUAUAAAGGUGAAUUGGAAAAUGUAUAUAAAGUAAUGAAACUGCAUCUUUUUCCUCUCCCUAGCAUCAGUCAUGCACACCUUAGUAAGAAAUUUAGAGCAUGGUGUUCUGGGGAAUUUAACAAGUUUGAUUUUUUUCCCUCUUUUUUUUUUUUUUUUUGUAGCCAUGCCCACGGCAUGCAGAAGGUCCUAAGCCAGGGAUCAAACCCAUGCCAUGGCAGUGACAACCUUUAUCCUUAACCAACUAUGCCACAAGGGAACUCCCAACAAGUUCCAUUUUUUUUCUGAUGGAGGAAUAAAGUCAUGUUUUAUUAUUUAAUGAUAAUUAUUUAAUAAUAUUUAAUAAGAAACUUAAGCAGAGAUAUCUGCAGCCAGGCUGCAUAUUUAGGAAUAGGGUUCAAAGACUUUCUGGGGCUCAUGAAACCUAUCACAAGGCAGUCACUUUGGCAGUCUAAUCCUUGGGCUUUCUAUAUGUCUUCAGAUAGUGUCACGGGAAGCCUAGGGGAGCGGGACAGACCUGGAUGAAACUUGUUCUCAGCACAUUGCCUUAGGAAAACCACACGCAGAUGGGCUUGUGCUGAUUUGAGGAAACAGAAGGAAACUAAUUCAUGGUUUCAAAACUUGACAUUUUUUAUCUUCCCACCAGAUAUGUCAUGUGUACUAUAUUUGCUGCACUUCUUGGCCUGACUUUCUCAAGCUCAAGAUUCAGGAAAUACACUUGACAUUUCCUUCCAAUAUGGUCACGAGAGGCAAAGAGGAAGGGCUCUGUGGGGGAAGGAAGGAGCUGUGGGAGGUCGGCUCUGGUACCCAGUCAUCAGGUGAUCUGGCACAGGACUCCUCUCUCUGAGACUGGUUCCCCCAUCUAUGACAUGGGGAUAAGCCCUAGUUCCCAGGGAUGGCACAGGGACUGAGGGGGGAGUCAGUGGUCUCCAGUGCUCACUCAGGCUGCAUGACUGUAGGUCCUCCUGUAUCCUGGGAAGCACUGAUUUAAGCAGCUCUCAUGAAGUUGUUCUCUUUCCUAAGAGAACUGUUCAGAAUCUCACCAGAGUACAUGUUAGAGGCAGAAUUCCAACAAACCCAUCUCACUCUGAAGGGGGGUACUUCCCACUCUUCUCUCCUGCCUCCUUCCUCUGUCUGCUCCUUCUCUCCCCACCAAGCUUUGCAGCCAUGUAUCUGUGCUCUCUGUGUCUUGUGAACUGGCCUCCUAUGGAGACAACUUCCAGGGUGUGAAAUGGAGGCGAUCUCUAAAAAGGGUCCCCUAAAAUGAACCUGACCUCUGUUAGCACAGCCAGAUCCAUAGUUCUAACAGUGAUGAGGAUAAGGAUCCAGGAGGUACAAGCUCUCCCCUAUGAAGUGACACAACCUGGAAGGAUGACAUGCCCUGUGAUAGCAGAGGGAGCCAAAGCAGAGAGGUGGACAGCUUUGGGCUACCCAUACCUGUGCGUCACUGGAAGGGCUGUGGGAGCCUCCACAGAGGCUGGCAGGUGAGGGAGGAAGGAGGAUGAGUUGGGACUAGGACCUGGGGAGCCCACUCAGUGGUACUGUCAGAUGUCAGGUUGAGGUCCCAGAUAGGCAUAAAUCCCACUGUUCAUGGGGGAGGUUGGCUCAAUCUAGACCAGCAUCCAUACACAGGGUGGGCUCGGCAUCAGGGGGGUUGGGUCAUCAUCAGCAUGGCUUCAGGCUCACACUGGCACUACUGCCCCACCAUGGCUCCUCCCUAAGCCUGGACAAGCCCAGGACCCAGGGUAUUGUGGUGUAGAGUAUAGCCUUGCCCUCAUGGGUGAGGUGGGGUCAGCAAAGUUCCAUGUGGCCAGCCAAAUUCUUGUCUCCAGGUGCCCGAGUGGAGCUGGAGGGUCAACAGAGAAGGCAUGAGUGUGGGGGCCCCAGCAUGAGGAGGAGGAUGCUCACCUCGGGUGUGGUGGGCUUUGACCUUGAGGAAAUGACCCCUGAGUGACUUACAGAAGGUGGGGUCUGUAGGCUCCACAGCCCCAGAUCUUGGCUAGUCUUCAUUUCCAUCAGAAUAGCUCGGGAUAAAUUAGUGGCCGCUGUGCCUCUGAUCCCUGCCCUCAUUCUUCUUCUCUUUCUUGAGUCUCAGUUUAUAGUGUUCUUUCAUUCCCUUUGGAACCCAGGCAGGUCCACCCUCAGCUGCACACCAGCAUCCUGGCUGACUUUUCCAGAGCCUUCCUGGUGGAGACGAGGAGGCUGGCUUCCUUCCUCUCCCGUCAGAACCCCACUCUCCUGUAGCCAUCUUCUCUGCAUCCCAAGGGAGCGGUCUGGCCUGCAUCCUGGUGGCACGAUCCACCCUCCCCCACAGCCGCCUCAGGACCCCACCUCCCUUUCAGCCUCCCUAUGUCACACUGCCUGCAUCUACCCCCGGGGAUGGCGACCGUGACCCAAAACUGUCAGCUCGCUCUUUCAUGCUCACUUAGAGCGCAUUAGAGACAUAUUGUGCAAAGAGCUUGCAUUUACAGAAGCAUCACUGUGUGCUGUUUGGGCUGUGAAGGACAAGUGCACUCCUGUCUUUCACUGAAUGGGAAAGGAGGGCUGCAGGUCUCCCCAGCCUGAGAAUGUGCUGGGGCCUGAGCCCCAAGAGCUGCUGCCCCUCCCAAGACUGCAGGGGCCAUGGCAGCUCCUCUGGUCAGCACCUCAUGCCAGGCAUCCAUGCCCCCAAGCCCACCAGGUCCUGGGGAGCCUGAUGCUGCAGAAAAGUCUCUGUCUCUGUAUAAGUUCAUAUGCCUCCAUGACUGUCCCUUCUCUGCCCUUUAACUCCUUUGAAAUUGGAACAAAAAGUAAUCCCCCACCAUGGGAAGUUCCCAUCGAUAUUAUGCCUGCACUCAACCCACCCCAUCUGGUUCUUUCCUGAGCCCGUGUGUGGCUCUGUCUGGGUCUCCAGCCCUCGAGGAGUGCCUGCUCCGGGAGGUAGAGUCACAUUGCAGCAGAACACCAGAAGCGACCCCCCAGCUCUCCUGUGGGACUCUGUCCCCACACCCAGCCCAGCACUACCUUCUGGGGCUGAGCACCAUACAUCCCUUCCUCGCUCCUCCAAUCCCCUUCCCUCUGCAUCCACCCUCUUCCUGCCCCGGUGAGCAUCCUGAAUGUUAACCCCACUCUUCUCAGCCAUGUCUGUGCCCCUGCUGUGCUCCUCUCUCUGCGGGAUGCUGUUUCUGCCAUCCUUUCCUUGAGUAAUUCCUGCUCAUUUUCAGAACUGACCUCAGGGGUCACCUUCUGGGAAGGGCCUACCCAGGCUCUGCUUCUCCUCUGUCCAUCUCACUUGGGGCCCUCUUCUGUGCAAUAUACAUAAUACUCCAUCUAAAUAUCUCUAUAUCUGCAUAGUAAGAUGCUAGAUCAGCCAGGGUGUGGGUCACUGUCUUCAUCCAUCCUGGCUACUCUAACAAAAUACCACUGACUGGUGGCUUAUUAACUACAGAAAUUUCUUGUUCAUGGUUCUAGAAGCUGAGGAAUCCAAAAGCAAGGUGCUAGCAGGAUUGCCUUCGGGUGAGGGCCUACUUCCUGGCUCCUAACGCAUGCCUCCUGCUGUGUGUUCACUGGGUAGUUGGGGCUGGGCAUCUCUCUGGAGCUGCCUCUAUAAGGGCUCUGAUCUCAUCCAUGUAGGCUCCACCCCCACAACCCAAGAGCCUCCCAAAGGUGCUUCUAAGACCAUCACACUGGGCAUUCGGCUUUCCAUAUGGAUUUUACAGCGACGCAAACAUUCAGUCCAUGGCAGCCACUGUAGUGAUGAUUGAGCACAGUCCAUAAAUACCACCAGGCCUCAGUUUUCUCACAUGUGAAGUGGAGAUGAUGGCAGAGACUAUCUCAUAGGCUGGGGCAGGGCCUUGAUUAGAAGGUGCACAUGACUGAGGGAUGGGCUUAGCAGGGUGCCUGCGGCAAGCUGGACUAUACUCAGCUGUUCUUCGCAGUGUCUCAUGCCAGGGGUUGGCAAUGGAAUGCCUUUCAGUGAAGGAGCUGGCGAUGCUCACCCCUAUCACCUCAGUGCCCAGAACAGGGCUUGGCAGAAACUAAGUGCUCAAACCAAAGGGAGUGGAUAAAGCAGGGCACACUAAGGCACAGCGUAUGGUGUCUAACCCUCAGUAGGAAAAUUAGAGAACUGGUUGAAAGCAGUGGGGCAAACGGGUUUAUCUUUUGGAUUGUAUAGUAGUGGUAUGAAUGGUAAGGAUAUUACCAUUCAUACCACUUAAGGAUAUUUCAUUCUUAGUCUGCUCCUUAGAUAGAUUUACACUCUGACCAUGAGUGUGAGAAUGUGUGAGUGUGCAUGUGUUGGCAGGGGGUGUUUCCCAGCCUCAUAGCACCAAUGGCAACCCCUCAUCAUCCAGCAUACAUUGGCCAAGGGACAGAUCCCCAAGGGGCAGUUUUAUCCCUCGGUCAGCUGCAGAGGAAAGCCGGGCAUCUGCUGUUAUUCUUGUCCUAGUGGCUGUGGUUUGGGAGUAAAUGCCUGAACUGCUGCUGGGGUCCCAGGGUGACUCAGACUUGGGGAUUGAUGAUGGGUUUUGUCAUGUUUCUGAAUAAUUAAAGAGCAGCUUCCAUUUAUGGGGACUUACUUUGAAGCCAUCACAAUGUAUUAGUGGUCAAGUAGGCUGCGUGUGUGAGAGUUUAAAAGGUGAAGAGAAACCCACAGCCAAGAAGAUAAAGUCUGGCAGUAUAAAUAAUCCUGUCCAUGCAGAGCAGCUACAUCACAAGAAACACUCUUUCCUGAAGACACACCUUCCAGGCCCCUUUGCACAUGCGUGCCACCUCAUUUCUUCAGCAAAGCCAGCCCAGAAUGAUCUGGAAUGAAGGGUGAGCAGACAGGGGUUUGAGGUCCCUCUUGAGGUCAGUCCUGUUCCCAGCCCUGGAUUCAUUCAGACCAGGGCUUUCCAGAAAGAACGGAGGGGGUGAGCUGCUGGGAACAAGUUUUCUUUCUCUCUGAGCCUCAAGCUUUUGCUUUUCUUUAAAAUGCAACUAAAGGUAUAGGACCUGCCCAUUUUAUGGGGGUUGUGAUGAUGGUUAAAUUGGGUGAUGCAUGUGAUAGAAACAAAUGAGCAUUAGGGUUGGUAUAUGGAAUUGACACUUCUGUGAAGAGAUGGGACCUGAGUCCUUUAAUUUGUGGGGUUUGCCUAUAUGUCAUCCUAGGCAUUUCCUUUUCCCCUUGUAAUGGGGUGAACAGCAAGAGGUAGGUUUCUGCCUUAGGUAAAAAAGAGAUGAUUUACAAGAGCUGGAGUAAACCAAUUCCAGAAACCAACAGGCUGGUUCCUGGGACCUUUGAAGAAUGAACCAGAAAUUCUCCCCUUGCUGGGCCUGAAGGAAAUACAGGCAGUAAGCAGAAGGCACGCAGGAUUCAGAAACAGUGGCCAUUUACAGAGUAAAACUGCUCAAUUAGGUCCAGCUAAAUGUCUUUAGAAUAUGAUUAAUGGUGACCCAAAGGUUCAAUACUGGCCGAAACUCAAUGAUCCUUAAUGUCAUGAUGCCCAGAGCCAAACAUCA
rnacentral:lncRNA from 1 species